rnacentral:tRNA from 1 species
GCCGGUGUAGCUCAGUUGGUCAGAGCACGUGAUUUGUAAUCUCGGGGUCGUGGGUUCGAAUCCCUCUACCGGCUUGU